GAUGAACGCUGGCGGCGUGCCUAAUACAUGCAAGUCGAGCGAAUGGAUUAAGAGCUUGCUCUUAUGAAGUUAGCGCCGGACGGGUGAGUAACACGUGGGUAACCUGCCCAUAAGACUGGGAUAACUCCGGGAAACCGGGGCUAAUACCGGAUAACAUUUUGAACCGCAUGGUUCGAAAUUGAAAGGCGGCUUCGGCUGUCACUUAUGGAUGGACCCGCGUCGCAUUAGCUAGUUGGUGAGGUAACGGCACACCAAGGCAACGAUGCGUAGCCGACCUGGGAGGGUGAUCGGCCACACUGGGACUGAGACACGGCCCAGACUCCUACGGGAGGCAGCAGUAGGGAAUCUUCCGCAAUGGACGAAAGUCUGACGGAGCAACGCCGCGUGAGUGAUGAAGGCUUUCGGGUCGUAAAACUCUGUUGUUAGGGAAGAACAAGUGCUAGUUGAAUAAGCUGGCACCUUGACGGUACCUAACCAGAAAGCCACGGCUAACUACGUGCCAGCCGCCGCGGUAA
rnacentral:rRNA from 1 species